rnacentral:rRNA from 1 species
CAGUAGCCACGGUAACACAGAGGGUGCAAGCGUUAAUCGGAAUUACUGGGCGUAAAGCGCGCGUAGGUGGUUUGUUAAGUUGGAUGUGAAAUCCCCGGGCUCAACCUGGGAACUGCAUUCAAAACUGACUGACUAGAGUAUGGUAGAGGGUGGUGGAAUUUCCUGUGUAGCGGUGAAAUGCGUAGAUAUAGGAAGGAACACCAGUGGCGAAGGCGACCACCUGGACUAAUACUGACACUGAGGUGCGAAAGCGUGGGGAGCAAACAGGAUUAGAUACCCCAGUAGUCCCUGUCUCUUAUAC